CGCGCAGGCCCUACUGUUGAGCCAGCAGGUGAUGCUGCCCCCAUGCGGCGGAGGGCGACACUACAACCUCGCCUACGUUUCUGCAGGGCAGCCCCGACGCUGUUGAUGCACGGUUGGCUACAGAACACUCAAAAAUUGCAAAGAGAAAUACUGUGUUCUGGAAAUUCGCCCGAGCAUUUUUUUCCAAUAUCGUCCUUAUGCUCUUCUGAUCCUCUCUUGAACUGUUGGACUAAAGCAGCUGACGCUUCCACCAGCAACCAGAGUCAUCCUGUCCACUACUGUGGGAACAGAGGGUUUCCAUUUGGAACUGCAGACUGAGCCUAAAGUCUGGUGGCCCUUUGGUGCCAGGAUAGCAGAAAUGAUUCUACCAAUGCCAGCGGCAUGCACCAGAAACCAGGAAGGAAUCAUACAGCUGAGCCAACCUGCUGUACUUUAAAACACUUGACCACAAUUCUCCAGUGGAUACUCAACCCUGGCUUCAAACUCCCUUGUCUCUCCGCUCCUGUCCUAGGGAUGAGGGAGCAGAAGGCAAGCUUAGGACAAAGCAGAAACUGGCACCCUACACCCUCUCCCCAUGCCAUAUGUGUAACAUUCCUCAUGCACUCCUGGCUGCCCUAAAGGAAAAACGAUGCUUAACUGAUAGAGAUCCCAGUCCUGCAGGACAGGAGUAUCCCUCCAUCUACGAAUGUCCUAGUGACUUACAAGGAAGGAAGAAGCUUUCUCAUCAAUAGCCUGACUUCCAGAGACCCAUACCUCAGUUUCCGGAAGCCCUAACAUCACCCUCCCCUCCAUAAAAUUGAGGGAGGCUAAGGGGGAGGGAAGUGUAAUAAAACUGAAUUUCUUCUAAGCCCAAAUCCCACUGACAAGGAUGUGUGAUAGAAGGAAUGUAACAUAUCUCCAGGAAACUCCUGACUGUCUUCAUGCUUUCCCUCAUUAGAGGCAAAAACAGCCUUGACUUGACAAUAACCAGGUCUCCCUUAUCCUGAAAUUCUUCUUUAGCAUAUGACAGUCCUUCUGGACACCCCCUUUGUCCUCACCUUCCUCAGCUCCCAGUCAACCAUGCCUCUGUCUGAGCAGCUCUUUCUGCCCUUGGGUCCUGUCCCUGUGUUUUAAUAAAACCACCA